AUUUCUCAACCACACCUUGUGUGGCUUGGACUUGGGAGUUGCUGGUCCUCGCCGAUCAGCUCUCCUCAAAUGCAUUAGCAGAAGUCGUCGAGGCGAGUCUUUCGUUCGGCGUGCACGGCCUUUGACGUGAUAAUCUUUGAUCGUCCUUGGUUUCGUCGCACCAGAAAGACUACGUAUUAGAUGUUCUUUCGCUUCGAACGUAUAAUGAUGGGUCAAGCUUAGCUACUAGUCUAGUGCGAACGCGGCGCGACCCAACAUUCAUCGAA
rnacentral:misc_RNA from 1 species